GUCCUGGCCCUAAACGGUGCACGUUUGCUGUGAGCGGGGUCGAACCUGUUCGUGGCGAAGCUAACGCGUUAAACGUGCCGCCUGGGAAGUACGGCCGCAAGGUUAAAACUCAAAGAAAUUGACGGGGGCCUGCACAAGCGGUGGAGUAUGUGGCUCAAUUCGAUGCAACGCGAAGAACCUUACCUGGCCUUGACAUGCAUCUAGUAGAAGGGUGAAAGCCUGACGAGGUAGCAAUACCAGGAUGCACAGGUGCUGCAUGGCUGUCGU
rnacentral:rRNA from 1 species